GACGAAAGUACUGAUGGAGCAACGCCGCGUGAGCGAUGAAGGCCUUCGGUCGGUAAAGACUCUGUGUUAGGGUAGUAACGAAAGUAGACGAGAGUAACUGACUCGCACCUUGACCGGUUACCUAACCGACGAAAACGCCAAACGGCCUAAACGUACGUAGACCCAGGCCAAGCCCGCGGUAACUACCGGUAAGGUUAGGUACGUAAGGCGUUAGUCCCGGGUAAUUUACGUUAGGGUACGUUAAAAGGCGGUAACGCGGCAGGGUCGGUCCGUUUUAAAGGUCCUUUAGUAUUGGUGAAAAGUCCCAAACGGGCCUCGAACCCGUGAACGGGUUCGAGUUGGAAACUUGGGGGAACUUGGGAGUUGCAGAACGAGGAAAAGUGGGAAAAUUCCGAAAGUUCGUAAGCGGUUGAAACGUGACGUAGACGAUUUAGGAGGUAACGACCGAAGUACGGGNACGGUAACGGUACGGGUACGGUACGGUACCGGGUACCGGACCGGUAACGUUAACGGUUACGGUUACGGGUACGGGUACGGUAACGGGUACGAACGAACCGGAACGGGGUAACGGUAACGGGGUAGGUAGUAG
rnacentral:rRNA from 1 species